CUCUCAAACCUUCGGUUUGGUUUUGCCCCGGCUAAAUAUCAACGGCGCUAGAAUAAGUUUUAGCCCCCUCCUUUUUCCUCACCCUCGUAAGACUACCCGCUGAACUUAAG
rnacentral:misc_RNA from 1 species